UCCAUGUGAAUCUCAUCGCUUGUGAAAACAAGGCGUUAAUGCAAGAACUGGCGGCGUGGAAUAAGCUAAACUGGAUAUUAUUUUAGGCUAUACCGGUAGAUCUAAAUCCAAUCUUCAUAGAAAUCGAAAGAGGAAAAACAAUGAGUGCACCAUCAACAGCUCCUUUUGACAACCCGCUGCUCAAAAAGGUGAAUAUUUUCGUAUUAAAUUUUGCUCUUGAUUUAAUGGUUAAUAAUAUUAAGCCUUAAGGGGAGAUGCUAGGUGGCCGGUGUUUUUGGUUCUAUAGGCCUAAGUUAGAAUUAUUGAAUAAUGUUUAGUCUAAAGAUCUAAUCGCCCCACUAAGUAAAAAUCUACAGUAUUUCUGAUUUAUUUAGGCCUAUAUCAAGGGGUCGGGUCUAAGUUAGGCCUAGAUCUAAGUUUGGGUCUAACAUUAUAAACCUAACAAAAAAGUAACUGAUGCAUCAUCAUUCAUCAUGCACCACCAAGUCCAAGGUCGAGAUGGCAAUCAUAAUUCAUAAUAUUUUUUACUUUUACUUAGUAUUCAUGUUAUUUAGCCCAGCCAUCUAGGUACCCAACAGGGGUGAUACAAACCAGAAAAAGGAGAGAGAAAAUAAAAUUGUUAAGAUCUAGAUGAUGGAUCUAUUCCCAGAAUAUUUUUUUUUUUUUUCAAUCGUUGAUUGAUGGUAUGAUGGGUGAUGCUUGCACAAUAACAAACUGUUCCCUACCAAGUACGAAAAUUAUUUUUCCUCUUUUUUUUUUAUUUUUACAUUCCAGUCUCAACUUGGAAGGCCUUUACAACGAGGAUACAGCCUUCCGGCUGAUGCCAACUUCACAUAUGGACGUCCCAACAUGAGCAAAGAUAAUGGAGCCUCCGAAGCCCUAUCAGGAUGGUCUCCUAGUGGUCCCUUGAUGCCCAUCAGCAACACAGAACGUAAACCAGAAAGAGACUUUAUUGCUCUCAACAAAGCAUGUAUAGGUGCUGGGUUGGUGACGGCUAGCGAUCAGUUUCAGUACAGAGCAACACAUGAUGUCAGGCGCAGGAUAUCGGAUGAAGAGAAGAGCAAGUCCAAAGUUAAGAGGAUACCAGCAUCCAUGACCUUUGGAAUCUCAACCAGGCCAUCCACUCCAGUAUUUGAUUUAUUGGAACACAAGUAUCAAGAUAGAUGGUUGCAGGAAAGGAGAAAGUCUGAAUUAGCCAAGAGAGAAAGACAUCAACAAAAGCAAAACAUGAACAGAGGAAUCUAUGAGACGCGUGCCUCCCUCCUCAGGAAACAUUGCCCCCCUGUUGAAGACCCACCUCUCUGGCAGAUGUCUAGAUUCUCCCGUCAGUUGCCCCACCUUGAAACAUUCCGCUCACCGAAUGCCCGCCAGGAAGCAUUUACCCAUCAUGCCACUGACUGUACAGCUCGCACUGGAGUGUUUGGACAUGGAAUAUAUGAAAGUGCUAAAAGCUAAAGAACUUUUUGUAUAACUUUAAUGAACUCUAAUAUUUUGAAGCCCAGAAUGAGACUGGGAGUGUAAUUGUACUCCAAAAAGUAUUUGAUUUCCUUUCUGUAAAUGAAAUAUUUCACUUGUAUUUAACAUCACUCCAGUGAGUACACAAAUAAUCAUGGAAAGUAAUUCUACUUUGACGAAUACUGGUGUACCAAACAAGAAAAUUGGUAACUACACAAUUCUGUUUUUGUCAGAUGAUCAUUGCAUUUGAUUAUUUUUUUUAGUCAUGUACUUAUAAAAUUUUGCAACUUAAAAGAAAAAGGACAAUGCUAUUUCUGCUUCACUAAAUCUCAAUAAAUGGGUAUGAAGUUUAUCAUUGUGUUAAUCUUUUGUUAGAGUUGAUGAUGAUCAAGAAGUAUGGGUAAAAUCCCACAAAAUGAUGCUUAUUACAAACCGUUAAUGUGCUAUACAUGUAAAUGUGCAUGGCCUUUGCGUACGUCAAACAUCUUGGAACCACUUAAUUCUGUUUGACUUACAAACCAUUCAGGAUAUACAUGUAAAGGGUUAUAAAUGCCUUUGCUGGCAGUCGACUUAUAAAUUGUCUUAUUAAUUAACACAAUAAUGCACAUGGAAUGACAUGUCAACAUUUCGAAACAAGAAACUUCAUUCAGUUUGCAAUUUUCAAGGCAACUACACAAGUAUUUCACAAUCAAUGAUAAAUUCUAUGUGCACUUGCAGAUAGAUGUAUUUGAAACUCUCUCUACAUAUGAAUUGCCUUGUUGCAAUGAAUGACUGAAUGAAUGACUAGUACGAGUUCAUGCUGGCUGUGAACACAAGAAUUAUGCCUGCCUUCAAAAGUCUGUUAUGUAAUGCCUUGCUUUAUUUUGUAUUAAUAAUUUUCACUAUAAUUCUUCCUAAUUUUCCAUCAAUGAUUUAUGCAAUUUAUUUACUACUUUAUCUUAUUGCUAACUGAAUCCCACUUGAUUUUUUAAACUGUAAAUAUAUAUUACUGCAAUGUAAAUACAUGUAAGUCUAUCUGUUGGGUUGACUUUUAUGGAUGAAUUUUUAUGUGUGGCUACUCAAUGAUUAUGUCAAUGAUAUUUAUUCUCUCAGUUUUGAGUAAUAAUAAAAGAAUUGAAAGUA